UUUGUCUCUCUAGGUGAUCGAGA
rnacentral:siRNA from 1 species